AACGAACGCUGGCGGCAUGCCUAACACAUGCAAGUCGAACGAGACCUUCGGGUCUAGUGGCGCACGGGUGCGUAACGCGUGGGAACCUGCCCUUAGGUUCGGAAUAACUCCCCGAAAGGGGUGCUAAUACCGGAUAAUGUCUUCGGACCAAAGAUUUAUCGCCGUUGGAUGGGCCCGCGUUGGAUUAGCUAGUUGGUAGGGUAAAAGCCUACCAAGGCGACGAUCCAUAGCUGGUCUGAGAGGAUGAUCAGCCACACUGGGACUGAGACACGGCCCAGACUCCUACGGGAGGCAGCAGUGGGGAAUAUUGGACAAUGGGCGAAAGCCUGAUCCAGCAAUGCCGCGUGAGUGAUGAAGGCCUUAUGGUUGUAAAGCUCUUUUACCCGGGAUGAUAAUGACAGUACCGGGAGAAUAAGCUCCGGCUAACUCCGUG
rnacentral:rRNA from 1 species